AAAUUUUAAUGUGCAUCCCUUCCAACAUGCUUUCUGAUAUAGCACUUUUAAGGAAUUUAGUCAAAGGGAAUAAUUACAGAGUGACGAAAAUGUUUAUUGUGCUGUUUAAAGGAAAGAAAAUUUACCCAAAUGUUCAUAAGACGGAAAUUGGCAAAAUGAAUUAUAGUGCAUCCAAACAAUAAAAAUGAUACAGCCACAGGAUAAAAUACCUGUGUAAUUAGUGUAGUGGAAAAAUGUCCAGAAUAUGUUAUUAAGUGGGACCAAAAAGCAAAAAACAAAAAGGAGGUUAACAAAAGUGGAGUUGGCCCUAGGUAUACUCAGUUCAUGCAGAUGCAAAGAUCAAAGUUCUACGGCUUCAAACGGCCAGGGGGCCAGUUCCUGCUUCUGGACCAAUGUUGUGCAAGAUGGGGGAGGAGGCUGGCCAUGAGCCUGGGGUGGGAUGGGCAUUUUUUUCUCCACCCCUGGCACAGCCAUGACAGAGCCCAGGAAUCAGACACCUGCACUAGAGCCUGCACUUCCUCCUCCAGGUGGAACGUGGGUGAGGUUUAAGGCCCUAGAACUUGAUGGGGAGACAAAGACAGGAGACGGUUCCCCUGUGUUCUACAGAGUCCUCCACAGCUGAAUCACUGCCCACUUCUGGGGGUCACAGAGAGCAAGGACACCAACACCUGGAGGAAGAAUCUCAGCUGAUAGACACAAUUUCCAGCCUCCCUUCGGGAUUAGAAGCAGCCACGUGACACACUUGAGUAAAUGCUUUGCAACCUGAGGGAUUCUGGGACUGCUCGGCCUCCUCUUUAGAGUCCCCCCCACACUUGUGGCUGCCUUUUUCCUUCUCCCUGCCUGGAAUAUAUGGAUGCAUUUGGAUGUAGAGCAGACAUUUUGUAACAUUGUGUAAGAAUAAAAGCUGCAUGCUAGGGGUUUGAGAAGA